rnacentral:misc_RNA from 1 species
GAACGCAAAUUGCACUCCCUGGUAUUCUGGGGAGUAUGCCUGUUUGAGGGUCAGUUUAAAUAAAAAUCGGUGUGUUGCUUUUUUGUAUCACCUCGGAAUUGGGUUUUCUUAGCCUUCGGGUUAAGAGACUUAAAAUUGAUUUUUUUUGUGCAUUUUUAUAGACGUACAUAAGAUAUUUUUUUAUUCGCCUUGGAAUGCCAAAUUUAUUAGGUAUGAUCAUGUUGUGUGGUUUCGUACCUAUAAGUUUCAUCAUCUGACCUCAAAUCAGGUAGGGACACCCGCUGAACUUAAG